UACAGAGGUCCCAAGCGUUGUUCGGAUUCAUUGGGCGUAAAGGGCGCGUAGGCGGCCUGGCAAGUGACGGGUGAAAGCCCUCGGCUCAACCGAGGAACUGCCUGUCAUACUGCCGGGCUUGAGUCCGGGAGAGGUGAGUGGAAUUCCCAGUGUAGCGGUGAAAUGCGUAGAUAUUGGGAGGAACACCAGUGGCGAAGGCGGCUCACUGGACCGGAACUGACGCUGAGGCGCGAAAGCGUGGGGAGCAAACAGG
rnacentral:rRNA from 1 species